rnacentral:rRNA from 1 species
UGGGGAAUAUUGCACAAUGGGCGAAAGCCUGAUGCAGCAACGCCGCGUGAGCGAUGAAGGCCUUCGGGUCGUAAAGCUCUGUCCUCAAGGAAGAUAAUGACGGUACUUGAGGAGGAAGCCCCGGCUAACUACGUGCCAGCAGCCGCGGUAAUACGUAGGGGGCUAGCGUUAUCCGGAAUUACUGGGCGUAAAGGGUGCGUAGGUGGUUUCUUAAGUCAGAGGUGAAAGGCUACGGCUCAACCGUAGUAAGCCUUUGAAACUGGGGAACUUGAGUGCAGGAGAGGAGAGUGGAAUUCCUAGUGUAGCGGUGAAAUGCGAAGAUAUUAGGAGGAACACCAGUUGCGAAGGCGGCUCUCUGGACUGUAACUGACACUGAGGCACGAAAGCGUGGGGAGCAAACAGG